GACAGAGGGGGCAAGCGUUGCUCGGAAUUACUGGGCGUAAAGGGCGCGUAGGCGGGAUGGCAAGUCGGUCGUGAAAUCCUUCGGCUCAACCGAAGAACGUCGAUCGAUACUGCUGUUCUUGAGGGUUGCAGAGGAGACUGGAAUUCCCGGUGUAGCGGUGAAAUGUGUAGAGAUCGGGAGGAACGACCGGUGGCGAAGGCGGGUCUCUGGGCAAUUCCUGACGCUGAGGCGCGAAAGCCGUGGGGAGCAAACGGG
rnacentral:rRNA from 1 species